CGACAGGCCACGGUAUAGAGUCAUCACACGCCAGUGCGGGGAAUCCGGUGGGAGUCCGGAACGGUCGCGCCACUGUGAGCGGCGAUCCCCGAUCGACGUGAGUCAGAGUGCCGCACGGGUGACCGGUUCGAUCGAGAACUGCCGA
rnacentral:ncRNA from 2 species